rnacentral:rRNA from 1 species
AGUUUGAUCCUGGCUCAGGACGAACGCUGGCGGCGUGCCUAAUACAUGCAAGUCGAGCGGACAGAUGGGAGCUUGCUCCCUGAUGUUAGCGGCGGACGGGUGAGUAACACGUGGGUAACCUGCCUGUAAGACUGGGAUAACUCCGGGAAACCGGGGCUAAUACCGGAUGCUCGUUUGAACCGCAUGGUUCAAACAUAAAAGGUGGCUUCGGCUACCACUUACAGAUGGACCCGCGGCGCAUUAGCUAGUUGGUGAGGUAACGGCUCACCAAGGCAACGAUGCGUAGCCGACCUGAGAGGGUGAUCGGCCACACUGGGACUGAGACACGGCCCAGACUCCUACGGGAGGCAGCAGUAGGGAAUCUUCCGCAAUGGACGAAAGUCUGACGGAGCAACGCCGCGUGAGUGAUGAAGGUUUUCGGAUCGUAAAGCUCUGUUGUUAGGGAAGAACAAGUACCGUUCGAAUAGGGCGGUACCUUGACGGUACCUAACCAGAAAGUCACGGCUAACUACGUGCCAGCAGCCGCGGUAAUACGUAGG